CUCUGAGAUUUGUGGCUUGUCCCUGGGACUGGGCCCACUUCUGGUUCCUGCUGGAUGAGGUCAGGAGAACAGAACAAGCCUCCACCUCAAGCCUGUACAACCAACUGUCCCAGGGGUUGGGUGUAGGUAGCACCAAGAAGAUGAGAUGCUAUAAACAAUAAGUUAGAACAGUAGCCAGAAAACCCAGGAAUGAAUGAAUGAUGUGGGGAGAUUGCAUCAAGGUGACUGAUGAACAAUAUUUGUCCUCCUGCUUCUCCCCUAAAUUCUAAAACAUACAAAAAAGGUGUUUAUGAGAAUAAAUUAAUUCCUGGCACUGCUAGGGAAAAGGGAGUUGUAACUGGCUGUAUUUUCCAAGAUGGCUAUAAGAAUAUGUUUCAUUACACAUGCUUUUCUUACAAGAGACUCUGACACUUCCCAUCCAUCACUGGGGUCUCUGUUUCUUCUCCUGGAGCCUUAGUGGAACUGUGACAUGACUGCAGCGGAAGUGAAGCCAUGGUUCAUAAAAUCUGAUUCCAUUUCUGCCUGGACUUCUGACCGUGCUUGUGAGACUCCAUGCUGUGAGAAAGCUCAAGACUCAUGGAGAUGAUGUUCCUUCUCACACCCUAGAGGAGUUGGGCCCCAGCCACCAACUCACUGCGAUCCUAUGGAAGCCUCUGAGCAAGAGCUACCUAGAUGAACCUAAUCAACUCGCAUGGCCAUGAGAGAACAAUACAAAUGACUGUUACCACAGCCACUGUAAUUUAGAAUGAUCUGCUGCUCAGCAAUAAUAAUAUAGCAAUAGCAAUAGUCAACCAGAGCACAGAUGCAAAGUGGACCAGAGGUCUAAAAACUUGGGAUCAGACUGAAGAGGAAAACAAAGCCUCAAAUUCUAGAAAUUGAGGGAACAGCUUUAGAGUGCUUCUAGUUUAUCCAGGACAGGUACAGGGGACAGACAGAGCCCCAACUCUGUCUUAGGGUGUCUCCAUUCAGAAGACCAUUCAGUGGCCCUCCUCACCAGGCAACACAUUCCUGCUUCUCACCCACAAUAGCUGCAGGAAAUGGAUAAACCACUUAACAAAGGCACCAACAGGAAAUCCCAGAGUCUAAGAUGGGCACUUCAUGAAAACAUUCUAAAUAACUGAGAAAAACCCACUACAACAUAGAGGUAAGAAUCCCAACCAAGAAAAUACUUUUUAAAAGUAAGGUAUUGAGACAAAGAGAUGAAGGUUUUAAAGCAUAAUAAAUAUAUUUAGAAAAAGAUCAGGCUGCUAUAAAAAAGAGAGCCAAUGAAAGCUCUUCAAAACUAGACAUUUGAUUAUCAAAAUAGAGAUGGACAACCCUGAAGAAUAGUUCUUAAAAUUAAGGACAAAGCAGCCUUCAGAAUAUCAUACAAAAAGACAAAGACAUGAGAUGUAUGAAGGAAAUGUGGAGAGGGAUGGAGGAUAGAUAGAUGCAGGAGUUAAAAACUAUCUAAUACAAGGUCCCUAAGAAGAGUGAGUCAGAAAAACACAAAAAGAAACAGUAGAAGAAAAAUUUAUUGAAACUUGUUCCCAAAAGGCUUAAGAAGAUACUGAAAACAUGGAUAGAUCAAUAGAAACAGUUUUGGGUAGAAAUGAAUGAUUCACCUAUUUUUAAUAAAGUACCCAGACCCACUCAUUUUUAUAUGCACUCUCUACCUAACCUUUAGGAAGCAAUUACCAUCUGAGGUAAACUAUUUCAGAGCAUACAACAAAAUAUAAAAUAAGCCAACACAUUUUCCAAGAAGAACAGAACUUAAUACCAAAACUGGAAGACUACACAUGGUCAUGGAUGCAAAGAUUCUAAGGACUGCUGUGAAGAUCCAAUAAGAAAAUGUGUGUAAAUCACCUGGCCCAAGGAAGUUUUCAAUAAAAUGUUAGUUAUUUCCUCUCGUUGGUUGCAGAAGUUCAUGCAAAUUCAAUUUCAGAUGUAAAAUCCAGGAGUGAACUCUCCUCCGAUUACAUCUAUCUGUGCCACAUCUAAUCAAGAACCUGCCACAGAGCCAAACCCCAAGAAGGCAGGAGAGGAGCCAUGUAUGCAGCCGAGGGCC
ensembl:lncRNA